rnacentral:rRNA from 1 species
UACGUAGGGUGCAAGCGUUAAUCGGAAUUACUGGGCGUAAAGCGUGCGCAGGCGGUUGUGCAAGACAGAUGUGAAAUCCCCGGGCUCAACCUGGGAAUGGCAUUUGGGACUGCAAGGCUGGAGUACGGCAGAGGAGACUGGAAUUCCUGGUGUAGCAGUGAAAUGCGUAGAUAUCAGGAGGAAUACCGAUGGCGAAGGCAGGUCUCUGGGCUGAUACUGACGCUCAUGCACGAAAGCGUGGGGAGCAAACAGG